AUUGAACGCUGGCGGCAGGCCUAACACAUGCAAGUCGGGCGCGCGGCGGACGGGUGCGUAAUGUCUGGGUAUCUGCCUGAUGGAGGGGGAUCACUACUGGAAACGGUCGCUAAUACCGCAUACCCUCAGAUGCACCCCUAUGGGCUUAGCUGGUAGGUGGGGUAAAGGGUCACCUAGGCGACGAUCUCUAGCUGGUCUGAGAGGAUGCUCAGCCACACUGGGACUGAGACACGGCCCAGACUCCUACGGGAGGCAGCAGUGGGGAAUAGUGCACAAUGGGCGCAAGCCUGAUGCAGCCAUGCCGCGUGUGUGAAGAAGGCCUUCGGGUUGUAAAGCACUUUCAGCGAGGAGGCGUUACUCGCAGAAGAAGCACCGGCUAACUCCGUGCCAGCCGCCGCGGUAAUUC
rnacentral:rRNA from 1 species